AGAGGUAUAGCCAAGUGGAAAGGCAUGAAUUUUUGGUAUUUACAUACGUGGGUUCGAUUCCUACUGCCUCUA
rnacentral:tRNA from 1 species